rnacentral:rRNA from 1 species
UUUGUGUGAGCGGUAGAGGAGCGUCGUAAUCGGGCUGAAGUCGUACCGUAAGGAGCGGUGGACUGAUUACGAGGGAGAAUGUUGGCAUUAGUAGCGAGAUGUGGGUGAGAAUCCCACAGGCCGAAUACCUAAGGUUUCCUCAGGAAGGUUCGUCCGCUGAGGGUUAGUCGGGACCUAAGCUGAGGCCGAAAGGCGUAAGCG